GACGAACGCUGGCGGCGUGCUUAACACGUGCAAGUCGAACGGAAAGGCCCUGCUUUUGUGGGGUGCUCGAGUGGCGAACGGGUGAGUAACACGUGAGUAACCUGCCCUUGACUUUGGGAUAACUUCAGGAAACUGGGGCUAAUACCGGAUAGGAGCUCCUGCUGCAUGGUGGGGGUUGGAAAGUUUCGGCGGUUGGGGAUGGACUCGCGGCUUAUCAGCUUGUUGGUGGGGUAGUGGCUUACCAAGGCUUUGACGGGUAGCCGGCCUGAGAGGGUGACCGGCCACAUUGGGACUGAGAUACGGCCCAGACUCCUACGGGAGGCAGCAGUGGGGAAUAUUGCACAAUGGGCGGAAGCCUGAUGCAGCAACGCCGCGUGCGGGAUGACGGCCUUCGGGUUGUAAACCGCUUUCGCCUGUGACGAAGCGUGAGUGACGGUAAUGAGUAAAGAAGCACCGGCUAACUACGUG
rnacentral:rRNA from 1 species